CUAAUGCGCGGCAUGGCAUUUCUUUGGCGCGGCGGUCCUGGAGGAAAUGCACAGCCGCGCACGUGCGCAGUUUAGAGGGAACGUUGCUCAUGACUUUUGACUUUUCUUGCCAAUCCAUCUUUCCCAGGAAUAUUUUUAUUCUGUAUAGACUUCCUUCUUUUCACUCUGUCAUUUAGGUUAGUAUCGUGGAGUAGCUAGAAUGUUAUUGAUCCAUACUUCUUUUCACUCUGUCAUUUAGGUUAGUAUCGUGGAGUAGCUAGAAUGUUAUUGAUCCAUACUUGUUUUCACUCUGUCAUUUAGGUUAGUAUCGUGGAGUAGCUAGAAUGUUAUUGAUCCAUACUUCUUUUCACUCUGUCAUUUAGGUUAGUAUCGUGGAGUAGCUAGAAUGUUAUUGAUCCAUACUUCUUUUCACUCUGUCAUUUAGGUUAGUAUCGUGGAGUAGCUAGAAUGUUAUUGAUCCAUACUUCUUUUCACUCUGUCAUUUAGGUUAGUAUCGUGGAGUAGCUAGAAUGUUAUUGAUCCAUACUUCUUUUCACUCUGUCAUUUAGGUUAGUAUCGUGGAGUAGCUAGAAUGUUAUUGAUCCAUACUUCUUUUCACUCUGUCAUUUAGGUUAGUAUCGUGGAGUAGCUAGAAUGUUAUUGAUCCAUACUUCUUUUCACUCUGUCAUUUAGGUUAGUAUCGUGGAGUAGCUAGAAUGUUAUUGAUCCAUACUUGUUUUCACUCUGUCAUUUAGGUUAGUAUCGUGGAGUAGCUAGAAUGUUAUUGAUCCAUACUUGUUUUCACUCUGUCAUUUAGGUUAGUAUCGUGGAGUAGCUAGAAUGUUAUUGAUCCAUACUUCUUUUCACUCUGUCAUUUAGGUUAGUAUCGUGGAGUAGCUAGAAUGUUAUUGAUCCAUACUUCUUUUCACUCUGUCAUUUAGGUUAGUAUCGUGGAGUAGCUAGAAUGUUAUUGAUCCAUA